GAUGAAGAACGUAGCGAAAUGUGAUAAGUAAUGUGAAUUGCAGAAUUCAGUGAAUCAUCGAAUCUUUGAACGCACAUUGCGCCCGCCAGUAUUCUGGCGGGCAUGCCUGUUCGAGCGUCAUUUCAACCAUCAAGCCCCCGGCUUGUGUUGGGGACCUGCGGCUGCCGCAGGCCCUGAAAACCAGUGGCGGGCUCGCUAGUCACUCCGAGCGUAGUAAUACAUCUCGCUCAGGGCGUGCUGCGGGUUCCGGCCGUUAAAAAGCCUUAUUUACCCAAGGUUGACCUCGGAUCAGGUAGGAAGACCCGCUGAACUUAAGCAUAUCAAUAAGCGGAGGA
rnacentral:misc_RNA from 1 species